rnacentral:rRNA from 1 species
GAGUUUGAUCCUGGCUCAGAACGAACGCUGGCGGCGUGGAUAAGACAUGCAAGUCGAACGGGAUUUCAUUUGUAGCAAUACACGUGAAGUUCAGUGGCGUAAGGGUGCGUAACACGUGGGCAAUCUGCCGAGAUGUGGGGGAUAGCUCGCCGAAAGGCGAAUUAAUACCGCAUGUGGUUAGUGUUGGAUUCAACACGACACCAAAGCCGGGGCAACCUGGCGCAUCUUGAUGAGCCCGCGGCCUAUCAGCUAGUUGGUGAGGUAACGGCUCACCAAGGCUAUGACGGGUAGCUGGUCUGAGAGGACGACCAGCCACACUGGAACUGAGACACGGUCCAGACACCUACGGGUGGCAGCAGUCGAGAAUUUUUCUCAAUGGGGGAAACCCUGAAGGAGCGACGCCGCGUGGAGGAUGAAGGUCUUCGGAUUGUAAACUCCUGUCAUUUGGGAACAAUUGUUGGCGAUUAACUGUCGUCAGCUUGAUAGUACCAGAAGAGGAAGAGACGGCUAACUCUGUGCCAGCAGCCGCGGUAAUACAGAGGUCUCAAGCGUUGUUCGGAUUCAUUGGGCGUAAAGGGUGCGUAGGUGGCGAGGUUAGUCAGGUGUGAAAUCUCGGGGCUCAACCCCGAAACUGCACUUGAUACUGCCUUGCUAGAGUACUGGAGAGGAGAUUGGAAUUUACGGUGUAGCAGUGAAAUGCGUAGAUAUCGUAAGGAAGACCAGUGGCGAAGGCGAAUCUCUGGACAGUUACUGACACUGAGGCACGAAGGCCAGGGGAGCAAACGGGAUUAGAUACCCCGGUAGUCCUGGCAGUAAACGGUGCGCGUUUGGUGUGGGAGGAUUCGACCCCUUCUGUGCCGGAGCUAACGCGUUAAACGCGCCGCCUGGGGAGUACGGUCGCAAGAUUAAAACUCAAAGAAAUUGACGGGGGCCCGCACAAGCGGUGGAGCAUGUGGUUUAAUUCGACGCAACGCGAAGAACCUUACCCAGACUUGACAUGCACUAGAUAGGUGUGGAAACACACCCUCCCUUCGGGGCUGGUGCACAGGUGCUGCAUGGCUGUCGUCAGCUCGUGUCGUGAGAUGUUGGGUUAAGUCCCGCAACGAGCGCAACCCUUGUCCUUAGUUGCUAACAGGUAAAGCUGAGCACUCUAAGGAGACUGCCGGUGAUAAACCGGAGGAAGGUGGGGAUGACGUCAAGUCCUCAUGGCCCUUACGUCUGGGGCUACACACGUGCUACAAUGGCCGGUACAAAGGGUUCCGAUGCCGCGAGGUGGAGGCAAUCCCAAAAAACCGGUCUCAGUUCGGAUUGCAGUCUGCAACUCGACUGCAUGAAGUCGGAAUCGCUAGUAAUCGCUGAUCAGCACGCUGGGGUGAUACGUUCCCGGGCCUUGUACACAC